rnacentral:SRP_RNA from 3 species
CUGUGCACGAUGGGGAGUUAGCGGUACCCUGUAACCGGCAAUCCGCUGUAGCCGGAUCGAUACCAUGACCGAGGGUGUACCGAUUUCGUUACUCCUUUACGGAAUAAGUGUUGAAGCUUUAAGUCCUGCGCAAUGAGAAGUUGCUAAACUCCGUCAGGACCGGAAGGUAGCAGCGGUAAGGUUACAACUUGUGUGCCGUAGAUAGCUUAGGCGGAGCUUAUGACGGAAAGGUAGAAGCGGAAAGAGUCACACGGAGUCUGGCGCACAG